GGAGCGAAGCUUGCUUUGCUCCGCCGGCGACCGGCGCACGGGUGAGUAACGCGUAUGCAACCUGCCCGUUUCAGCGGGAUAACCCGGAGAAAUCCGGCCUAAUACCGCAUGUGGCCGAGGGAAGGCAUCUUCUUUCGGCCAAAGGAGGCGACUCCGGAGACGGAUGGGCAUGCGUGACAUUAGCUAGUUGGCGGGGUAACGGCCCACCAAGGCGACGAUGUCUAGGGGUUCUGAGAGGAAGGUCCCCCACACUGGUACUGAGACACGGACCAGACUCCUACGGGAGGCAGCAGUGAGGAAUAUUGGUCAAUGGGCGAGAGCCUGAACCAGCCAAGUCGCGUGAAGGAUGACGGCCCUACGGGUUGUAAACUUCUUUUGUCAGGGAGCAAUUGAGUCCACGUGUGGGCUUAGCGAGAGUACCUGAAGAAAAAGCAUCGGCUAACUCCGUGCCAGCAGCCGCGGUAAUACGGAGGAUGCGAGCGUUAUCCGGAUUUAUUGGGUUUAAAGGGUGCGUAGGCGGAAUAUCAAGUCAGCGGUAAAAAUUCGGGGCUCAACCCCGUCGUGCCGUUGAAACUGAUGUUCUUGAGUGGGCGAGAAGUAUGCGGAAUGCGUGGUGUAGCGGUGAAAUGCAUAGAUAUCACGCAGAACUCCGAUUGCGAAGGCAGCAUACCGGCGCCCAACUUGACGCUGAAGCACGAAAGCGUGGGUAUCGAACAGGAUUA
rnacentral:rRNA from 1 species